rnacentral:rRNA from 1 species
GGUUAAGCGACUAAGCGUACACGGUGGAUGCCCUGGCAGUCAGAGGCGAUGAAGGACGUGCUAAUCUGCGAUAAGCGUCGGUAAGGUGAUAUGAACCGUUAUAACCGGCGAUUUCCGAAUGGGGAAACCCAGUGUGAUUCGUCACACUAUCAUUAACUGAAUCCAUAGGUUAAUGAGGCGAACCGGGGGAACUGAAACAUCUAAGUACCCCGAGGAAAAGAAAUCAACCGAGAUUCCCCCAGUAGCGGCGAGCGAACGGGGAGCAGCCCAGAGCCUGAAUCAGUGUGUGUGUUAGUGGAAGCGUCUGGAAAGGCGCGCGAUACAGGGUGACAGCCCCGUACACAAAAAUGCACAUGCUGUGAGCUCGAUGAGUAGGGCGGGACACGUGGUAUCCUGUCUGAAUAUGGGGGGACCAUCCUCCAAGGCUAAAUACUCCUGACUGACCGAUAGUGAACCAGUACCGUGAGGGAAAGGCGAAAAGAACCCCGGCGAGGGGAGUGAAAAAGAACCUGAAACCGUGUACGUACAAGCAGUGGGAGCACAGAGCAAUCUGUGUGACUGCGUACCUUUUGUAUAAUGGGUCAGCGACUUAUAUUCUGUAGCAAGGUUAACCGAAUAGGGGAGCCGAAGGGAAACCGAGUCUUAACUGGGCGUUAAGUUGCAGGGUAUAGACCCGAAACCCGGUGAUCUAGCCAUGGGCAGGUUGAAGGUUGGGUAACACUAACUGGAGGACCGAACCGACUAAUGUUGAAAAAUUAGCGGAUGACUUGUGGCUGGGGGUGAAAGGCCAAUCAAACCGGGAGAUAGCUGGUUCUCCCCGAAAGCUAUUUAGGUAGCGCCUCGUGAAUUCAUCUCCGGGGGUAGAGCACUGUUUCGGCAAGGGGGUCAUCCCGACUUACCAACCCGAUGCAAACUGCGAAUACCGGAGAAUGUUAUCACGGGAGACACACGGCGGGUGCUAACGUCCGUCGUGAAGAGGGAAACAACCCAGACCGCCAGCUAAGGUCCCAAAGUCAUGGUUAAGUGGGAAACGAUGUGGGAAGGCCCAGACAGCCAGGAUGUUGGCUUAGAAGCAGCCAUCAUUUAAAGAAAGCGUAAUAGCUCACUGGUCGAGUCGGCCUGCGCGGAAGAUGUAACGGGGCUAAACCAUGCACCGAAGCUGCGGCAGCGACGCUUAUGCGUUGUUGGGUAGGGGAGCGUUCUGUAAGCCUGUGAAGGUGUACUGUGAGGUAUGCUGGAGGUAUCAGAAGUGCGAAUGCUGACAUAAGUAACGAUAAAGCGGGUGAAAAGCCCGCUCGCCGGAAGACCAAGGGUUCCUGUCCAACGUUAAUCGGGGCAGGGUGAGUCGACCCCUAAGGCGAGGCCGAAAGGCGUAGUCGAUGGGAAACAGGUUAAUAUUCCUGUACUUGGUGUUACUGCGAAGGGGGGACGGAGAAGGCUAUGUUGGCCGGGCGACGGUUGUCCCGGUUUAAGCGUGUAGGCUGGUUUUCCAGGCAAAUCCGGAAAAUCAAGGCUGAGGCGUGAUGACGAGGCACUACGGUGCUGAAGCAACAAAUGCCCUGCUUCCAGGAAAAGCCUCUAAGCAUCAGGUAACAUCAAAUCGUACCCCAAACCGACACAGGUGGUCAGGUAGAGAAUACCAAGGCGCUUGAGAGAACUCGGGUGAAGGAACUAGGCAAAAUGGUGCCGUAACUUCGGGAGAAGGCACGCUGAUAUGUAGGUGAAGCGACUUGCUCGUGGAGCUGAAAUCAGUCGAAGAUACCAGCUGGCUGCAACUGUUUAUUAAAAACACAGCACUGUGCAAACACGAAAGUGGACGUAUACGGUGUGACGCCUGCCCGGUGCCGGAAGGUUAAUUGAUGGGGUCAGCGCAAGCGAAGCUCUUGAUCGAAGCCCCGGUAAACGGCGGCCGUAACUAUAACGGUCCUAAGGUAGCGAAAUUCCUUGUCGGGUAAGUUCCGACCUGCACGAAUGGCGUAAUGAUGGCCAGGCUGUCUCCACCCGAGACUCAGUGAAAUUGAACUCGCUGUGAAGAUGCAGUGUACCCGCGGCAAGACGGAAAGACCCCGUGAACCUUUACUAUAGCUUGACACUGAACAUUGAGCCUUGAUGUGUAGGAUAGGUGGGAGGCUUUGAAGUGUGGACGCCAGUCUGCAUGGAGCCGGCCUUGAAAUACCACCCUUUAAUGUUUGAUGUUCUAACGUUGACCCGUAAUCCGGGUUGCGGACAGUGUCUGGUGGGUAGUUUGACUGGGGCGGUCUCCUCCUAAAGAGUAACGGAGGAGCACGAAGGUUGGCUAAUCCUGGUCGGACAUCAGGAGGUUAGUGCAAUGGCAUAAGCCAGCUUGACUGCGAGCGUGACGGCGCGAGCAGGUGCGAAAGCAGGUCAUAGUGAUCCGGUGGUUCUGAAUGGAAGGGCCAUCGCUCAACGGAUAAAAGGUACUCCGGGGAUAACAGGCUGAUACCGCCCAAGAGUUCAUAUCGACGGCGGUGUUUGGCACCUCGAUGUCGGCUCAUCACAUCCUGGGGCUGAAGUAGGUCCCAAGGGUAUGGCUGUUCGCCAUUUAAAGUGGUACGCGAGCUGGGUUUAGAACGUCGUGAGACAGUUCGGUCCCUAUCUGCCGUGGGCGCUGGAGAACUGAGGGGGGCUGCUCCUAGUACGAGAGGACCGGAGUGGACGCAUCACUGGUGUUCGGGUUGUCAUGCCAAUGGCACUGCCCGGUAGCUAAAUGCGGAAGAGAUAAGUGCUGAAAGCAUCUAAGCACGAAACUUGCCCCGAGAUGAGUUCUCCCUGACUCCUUGAGAGUCCUGAAGGAACGUUGAAGACGACGACGUUGAUAGGCCGGGUGUGUAAGCGCAGCGAUGCGUUGAGCUAACCGGUACUAAUGAACCGUGAGGCUUAACCUU